rnacentral:rRNA from 1 species
AACGAACGCUGGCGGCGUGGUUGAUACAUGCAAGUCGAACGGGAAACGGGGCUUCGGCUCCGGAGUACAGUGGCGGACGGGUGAGUAACGUAUGAUCAAUCUGCCCGAAAGACCAGGAUAGCCAUCCGAAAGGAUGGGUAAUACUGGAUAAGCCCACGGCGAGGCAUCUCGCUGGGGGAAAAGGAUUGGGAUCUUCGGACCUUUCGCUUUCGGAUGAGAUCAUAACCUAUCAGUUUGUUGGCGGGGUAACGGCCCACCAAGACGACGACGGGUAGCCGGCCUGAGAGGGUGGACGGCCACACUGGAACUGAGACACGGUCCAGACUCCUACGGGAGGCAGCAGUGCUGAAUUAUUCGCCAAUGCGCGAAAGCGUGACGGUGCGACGCCGCGUGAGGGACGAAGGCCUUCGGGUUGUAAACCUCUGUCAGGGAUUAGAAAACCUAUGUGGUUAAUAGCCAUGUAGUUGAUCAGUCCCAAAGGAAGCACAGGCUAAUCUCGUGCCAGCAGCCGCCGUAACAC